ensembl:lncRNA
CCUGCAGGUCUAGAGACAUCCAUCCCUCCAGCUCCCUCCAGUGAAACACAGCCUGCAGGUCUAGAGACAUCCAUCCCUCCAGCUCCCUCCAGUGAAACACAGCCUGCAGGUCUAGAGACAUCCAUCCCUCCAGCUCCCUCCAGUGAAACACAGCCUGCUGAAGAAUUGGAUAAACUAAGUCUUGAGAGGGAAACACCGAAAAAGUGGUGGGAGGCAGCUGCAUUGGUUUGUAGAAGACAUCAGAAGAAAAAGAAAACACAGAAACCAAACAGGGAGUUAAAUGGUGGAGCUGCUGGAGAAGGGACACCUGGUUCCUCAUCCACACCUCUCCUCUCUACGGAGCUUCCUGCAGGUCUAGAGACAUCCAUCCCUCCAGCUCCCUCCAGUGAAACACAGCCUGCAGGUCUAGAGACAUCCAUCCCUCCAGCUCCCUCCAGUGAAACACAGCCUGCUGAAGAAACUACACCACUAAUGUCCAGUGAAUCUCCUGCACCAACCGGGGACCAACAAGAACAUAUUAUAACUAUCCCUGAUGCAACUACGGAUGGUCAUGAUAAUGACCAGAGUCUGGGUCCUGAGGAGAGAGCAAAUGCCGCACCUCCCAGUCCAGCCCCUCCACCUCCCAGUACACACCCUCCACCUCCCAGUACACCCCCUCCACCUCAGUACACCCCCUCCACCUCAGAAUGCAGGUCUGGUGCAGACAUCGAGAUGGGUCUAGUCCCAGGAUUCCUUGACAUCGACCGUGAUUCACUAUUGAAGGGGAAUGACAUUACAGGAGACAAAGUAACAAAGUUCUAGAAAUUCGGGAUCAACAUGAAAGUGGAUCUGAUGGUUCAAACUCAGAAACUAGGGGAGGAAAUACACCAGUCUGAUUCCUUCCUGAUGCCAGCUUUCACAGGAGACGAAAGCGAAGUGGUGUGUUUAACAUCAUUAUUUGAUCAAUCCUCACAUUAUUCCUCUAUAUGUGGCUCACAGAGCAAAGACAAGCGAGGUGUUAAUAGUGUGAGGUGUGCUCAGUGAGGCGUCCUGGGAUAUGAUGGGUAACGUUGGCUUGGGUCCAAGCUCCACCUCUCUUGGGCGACCAUCAAGGAAGACGAUAUUUUCUCUUUAUGAUAUAUUUUUUUACAACGUCACUAACGUUACAAACAAUUUUGUAAAUGAUGACACGUACAUAUUUCAGCCAUGCAAGUAUCUUUUGUUGUUGUUUUUCUGCUAAACUUUUAGUAACAUCACUUUUUUUAAGGAUUUUGACCGUAAUCAUUUUGGGAAUAAAAUGUAAAAUAACAGAUGCAAAACCUCUAAUGAAAAUAUCUGCCAAUUUAAUGCACUGUAUUUCAAUGAGGAUAUCUUAUUUACAUUUUGCAUUUUGUUUUUUAAGUGUAAAUCCUGUGUUUUUUUUACUACUGUUCUUGAGUUGAUCAGGAAGCAUUUGGGGUGCUGGGAUUAGCAUUAAAUGGCCUUCUGUCAUGUAUCAGUCAAACAUUGUUAGUUCCAUACUAUUGUUUGUGAUCAAGUGGAGUCAGAGAGGGCUGGUUGUGGGGUAUCAUGUGAUGAGAGCCCACUAAUAAAGGGUUGAG